GACGAACGCUGGCGGCGUGCCUAAUACAUGCAAGUCGAGCGGACGGAUGGGAGCUUGCUCCCAGACCGUCAGCGGCGGACGGGUGAGUAACACGUGGGCAACCUGCCUGUAAGACUGGGAUAACUCCGGGAAACCGGGGCUAAUACCGGAUAACUCUUUCCCUCACAUGAGGGAAAGCUGAAAGAUGGCAUCUCGCUAUCACUUACAGAUGGGCCCGCGGCGCAUUAGCUAGUUGGUGAGGUAACGGCUCACCAAGGCGACGAUGCGUAGCCGACCUGAGAGGGUGAUCGGCCACACUGGGACUGAGACACGGCCCAGACUCCUACGGGAGGCAGCAGUAGGGAAUCUUCCGCAAUGGACGAAAGUCUGACGGAGCAACGCCGCGUGAGUGAUGAAGGUUUUCGGAUCGUAAAACUCUGUUGUCAGGGAAGAACAAGUACCGGAGUAACUGCCGGUACCUUAACGGUACCUGACCAGAAAGCCACGGCUAACUACGUG
rnacentral:rRNA from 1 species